AAAUUAUCUCCCUUUGGUGCAAAAAUGCCAUUUUUUGGCCUUAAAUUUGAAAUAUCUUUUUUAACUCGUCGGUGACCUAUAUUUUUUAUUAUUGUUUUCAAAUAAGCUGUACAUAAACUAAAUAAUUGUAAAAUUUAAGCGAUUUCUUAUAUUAGGUUAUUUUUUUAUUUCGAUAUUUCCUCUUUUUCUCCUAUUAGUUCAACAGAAAAAAAGGACAUUAACAAAAAUGUAUGCUUCUUCUA
rnacentral:lncRNA from 1 species